rnacentral:sRNA from 1 species
CUGUGGGCACACAGGAUCCGGAAUAGAUCUGCCGAUGCCUUUCGAGGUCUGCAUGGCUCCUUCAUGAACUCGCCAGUGGGAGACAUGCUGAGGAAUGCA